rnacentral:rRNA from 1 species
AUUGAACGCUGGCGGCAGGCCUAACACAUGCAAGUCGAACGAGUGGCGGACGGGUGAGUAAUGUCUGGGAAACUGCCUGAUGGAGGGGGAUAACUACUGGAAACGGUAGCUAAUACCGCAUACCAUCAGAUGUGCCCAGAUGGGAUUAGCUUGUGGGGGGGGUAACGGCUCACCAAGGCUACGAUCCCUAGCUGGUCUGAGAGGAUGACCAUCCACACUGGAACUGAGACACGGUCCACACUCAUACGGGAGGCAGCAGUGGGGAAUAGUGCACAAGGGGAGCAAGCCGGAUGCAGCCAUGCCGCGGGUAUGAAGAAGGACUUCGGGUUGUAAAGUACUUUCAGCGGGGAGGCGUUACCCGCAGAAGAAGCACCGGCUAACUCCGUGCCAGCCGCCGCGGUAAUUC